UAACACGUGCCAUGAGAAAUUCAGUGUUUUGCAGACCGUUUGACCUAAUACAACCUUUAAACAACUCACAAACGCAUUAUAUCUGAUUAUCCACGACGAGACUUCAUUCUUAAUACAUCACCUUUGUCUAUCCGAAACUUAUACCAUUCUUAUACUUGCAUUCGUUUAUUAAAAGUCAAUCGUUCACUUUUAUACUCCUAUUAUUCUCCAUUAUUCUUUUUUCUUUUAUACGAACCCCAUUCGCGAUCAAGUAUCAUCUAUGAUCUCUUUUGAAUCUUUAGAUGUCAUCUUUUCAAAAGUUUUCCUCUUAGAUUUCGAGGACGAAAUCUCCUAAAGUAGGGGAGACUGUAACAUCUGUCAAAAUCAACCCGUUUCAAAAUUCGACCCGUUUUAUAAAAAAAAAACAAUAAAAAAUUCAAAUCCUAAGCUCGAACAAACGGAAAUUUUCGCGAAAUAAACAAUCGUUGAGCGAUUUUUUUAUCCUAAAUUAAUUCGUUUAUAAGUAGGAUUACUUAUUUAAUUAAUUAGGAAAUUUGUUCUUUUUAUUUAUUUAUUUAUUUAUUUAUUUUAAAAAUAAACUAGUUAGUUUUGUUAAGUUUCAAAAUUGUUUAAGGUCAUAUAAGUUAACCAAGUUAAUUUAACUAGUUAAUUGAAUCUUUAAACUUAAGGGACUGUUUGUGCAUAUAACUGAAUUAAACCACAUGGUUGUUUGGUGCAAAGCUCAUGUAUUAAUUAUACGCGUGCUACAGUCAAAUUCUUGGAACCUAAAGUUGCCGCCUAUAAGGCCACACGGGGUGGUUCACUAGUGAUGGGUUCUAGUGAUGGGAGCACCCAAUCAAAUCAUGCCAUGUCAGCACCCAAUAUUCUAGUGAUAGUGAUAGAAAUGUAGUGGGGGUGGUAUCACUAGUGAUGGGGAUUCCAAUGUACAAGUAUUAAUGCACAAUGUACAAGUCAUACCCUAUCAAAACUCAAAGUUUAACGCGUUAUGUGCAGCACGCGUUGAUGUUUCCACGCGUUAUAGAAACACCGGCGGCGGUGUUCCGUUCCACUUCAACGAGUGAUGAAAACUCAUCACGCUCCCGCCCCGGGUUACCUAACAGCUUGCAUCCAGCCACCUUCCAACUUAACUCCACUGAUUUUUUUCGGUGAUUGACAUCGUUCCGCGUUUCCGAUUUUACAGUCAAUCAAGAAGCUGGUCAUGAUCUUACCUAUACUUCACCAUUUUAAACCUUCCAUAACUUCCCUCCCCCACAUCUCGACACCCUCACACUCGCAACACGUUUCGGUAUCCUAACACCUCACUUCAUUCUGUUCCGACACAAACAACACUCACCGUUCUUUUCGUAUUACCCACACGCUCGCCGGAAAGGUCGGAGGCAUCGCCGGAGACCGAGAAGACGACCGGAGAUACCCUUGUUGGAGACCGCAAGUCGCCGGAUAACUCGUAUCAACGUCGGAGCCUACGUCAGGAUUCACGCCAUUUCCGUUCGGAUAAUCAUUUCGUUCUCUUGGUUCCCCAAUCUCUACUCGUUCGUUAUUACAAGAAAUCGCAACGCAACCAAUGUUGAUAGACAAGAUGAUGAAGAAAUCAAGUUAGGAUGGACUUAGAU